UACGUAGGGGGCGAGCGUUGUCCGGAUUUAUUGGGCGUAAAGAGCGUGUAGGCGGCCAGGUAGGUCUGCUGUGAAAACUCGAGGCUUAACCUCGAGAUGUCGGCGGAAACCAUCUGGCUAGAGUCCGGAAGAGGAGAGUGGAAUUCCUGGUGUAGCGGUGAAAUGCGCAGAUAUCAGGAAGAACACCCGUGGCUAAGGCGGCUCUCUAGUACGGUACUGACGCUGAGACGCGAAAGCGUGGGGAGCGAACAGG
rnacentral:rRNA from 1 species